AUUGAACGCUGGCGGCAUGCCUUACACAUGCCAGUCGAACGGUAACGGGCCUUCGGGUGCCGACGAGUGGAGAACGGGUGAGUAAUACAUCGGAACGUGCCCGAUCGUGGGGGAUAACGAGGCGAAAGCUUUGCUAAUACCGCAUACGAUCUACGGAUGAAAGCAGGGGACCGCAAGGCCUUGCGCGGACGGAGCGGCCGAUGGCAGAUUAGGUAGUUGGUGGGAUAAAAGCUUACCAAGCCGACGAUCUGUAGCUGGUCUGAGAGGAUGAUCAGCCACACUGGGACUGAGACACGGCCCAGACUCCUACGGGAGGCAGCAGUGGGGAAUUUUGGACAAUGGGCGCAAGCCUGAUCCAGCCAUGCCGCGUGCAGGAUGAAGGCCUUCGGGUUGUAAACUGCUUUUGUACGGAACGAAAAGCCUUCUUUUAAUACAGGAGGGUCAUGACGGUACCGUAAGAAUAAGCACCGGCUAACUACGUG
rnacentral:rRNA from 1 species